UACGGAGGGUGCGAGCGUUGUCCGGAAUCACUGGGCGUAAAGGGCGCGUAGGCGGCCUGAUAAGUAGGGGGUGAAAUCCUGCGGCUUAACCGCAGGGCUGCCUUCUAAACUGUCAGGCUGGAGCACAGUAGAGGCAGGUGGAAUUCCCGGGUGUAGCGGUGGAAUGCGUAGAGAUCGGGAAGAACAUCAGUGGCGAAGGCGGCCUGCUGGGCUGUUGCUGACGCUGAGGCGCGACAGCGUGGGGAGCAAACAGGG
rnacentral:rRNA from 1 species